rnacentral:rRNA from 1 species
AGAGUUUGAUCCUGGCUCAGGACGAACGCUGGCGGCGUGCUUAACACAUGCAAGUCUACUUGAAGGGGCAACUCUGAUGGUGGCGAACGGGUGAGUAACGCGUAGACAAUCUGCCCCUCAGUCUGGAAUAAUUCAUGGAAACGUGGACUAAUACCGGAUAAUAUCAUUUUAACGCAUGUUGAUUUGAUUAAAGACCUUGAGUUGCUGAGGGAUGAGUCUGCGUGGCAUUAGCUUGUUGGUGAGGUAACGGCUCACCAAGGCAACGAUGCCUAGCUGGUCUGAGAGGAUGAUCAGCCACACUGGGACUGAGAUACGGCCCAGACUCCUACGGGAGGCAGCAGUGAGGAAUAUUGCACAAUGGGGGCAACCCUGAUGCAGCAACGCCGCGUGUAUGAUGAAACUGCUCUGCAGCUAAAGUACUGUUAAUCGUGAAGAACUAUAGGGUCAGUCGCCUUAUUUGACUGUAGCGAUAGAGGAAGCUCCGGCUAACUCCGUGCCAGCAGCCGCGGUAAUACGGAGGGAGCGAGCGUUGUCCGGAUUUAUUGGGCGUAAAGGGCAUGUAGGUUGGAUGAUCAGUCAGUUGUAAAAUCUUAUGGCUUAACCAUAUUAAGCAAUUGAUACUGUCAUUCUUGAGUUUGUGAGGGGUCGAUGGAAUACCUAGUGUAGCGGUGGAAUGCGUAGAUAUUAGGUAGAACACCUGUGGAGAAGUCGGUCGACUGGCACAACACUGACACUGAUAUGCGAAAGCGUGGGUAGCAAACAGGAUUAGAUACCCUGGUAGUCCACGCCGUAAACGAUGGGCACUAGGUGUCUGGGGACUAGUCCCCCGGGUGCCGUAGCUAACGCGUUAAGUGCCCCGCCUGGGGAGUACGGCCGCAAGGCUGAAACUCAAAGGAAUUGACGGGGGCCCGCACAAGCGGUGGAGCAUGUGGUUUAAUUCGAUGCAACGCGAAGAACCUUACCUGGGCUUGAACAGCAAGUGGUCGUUACAGAGAUGUAAUUUUUCCGGCAACGGAACACUUGUAGAGGUGCUGCAUGGCUGUCGUCAGCUCGUGUCGUGAGAUGUUGGGUUAAGUCCCGCAACGAGCGCAACCCUUAUCAUUAGUUGCCAGCGAGUUAUGUCGGGGACUCUAAUGAGACUGCCUGCGUUAAGCAGGAGGAAGGUGGGGAUGACGUCAAGUCCUCAUGGCCUUUAUGUCCAGGGCUACACACGUGCUACAAUGGGCGGUACAGAGAGUCGCUAUACUGCGAAGUAAUGCUAAUCUCCAAAACCGUUCCCAGUUCGGAUUGAAGUCUGCAACUCGACUUCAUGAAGCCGGAAUCGCUAGUAAUCGCGGAUCAGCAUGCCGCGGUGAAUACGUUCCCGGGCCUUGUACACACCGCCCGUCACACCAUGGAAGUUGAUAGUGCCCGAAGCAACUGGUCUAACCGCAAGGGGGAAGGUUGCGAAGGCAAGAUUGAUAACUGGGGUGAAGUCGUAACAAGGUA